GAGGUGGCCGGCCAUAGGGGGGCCUUGGGCCAAGCCCAAGUGUGAAAUUAAUCCAUGUAUUAAAAGAGAGGAGCAUAAAUAUUUCAUGACAUUUCAAGAAACUUCAAGAAAACAAGAAAGAAGAAGGAGAAAAGGCCACCCCAUUCGGCCAUAACCAUGGAAAUUUAGCCCAUUGAAAUCUUGUCUUAAAAAUAAUUUGUUCUAGUAUUCCUACUAAUUCAAGGGCCCUCUUCAACGUGGUAUAGUUGUUUCGGAAGAUAGGUCAUUCGUUUCAUCGUUUCCGCACCUUGGUCAAGUGAAGAAGUUGAAGAGGAAAGAUUUUGAAGAGUUUGGAACUUGAAUUUGGAGUAGCGUAAGAAGCGGAAAAGGUAUGUAAAGCCUUGAUUUUCAUUCUCUUGGCAUGUCUUAGGUAUAAUAGGUUAUGAUUCGAGCCUCGGGGACGACUCUACUCCUAGAAAUUCGAGCCAAAUUUGACCCUUAUUCAUUCAAUAUAAUUGAAUUAAGCACUUUAUGUUUUGAUGGAAAAGCAGCUUGAACCUUUGUAACUCCUACAAACGGAAUCAAAUUGUCCUAAAACUUCCAUAGAUGACUCUAUAAAGUCUAAUGUUCGUAAUUUCGGAACGCCACCUCGACUUGACCCGAGGUGGACCCGCAAUCCCCAAGAUCCUUUCAUAUUGAUCUAAUUGACUUACUUUCGAGUGAUAUUCAAGGAAAACUUUGACUAUUGUUCCGCUUACUAAAGAAGAAUCGUUUUGAUUAUUCCAUUGAGUUCCACGGUAUAUUUAAUAUGUGAAAACGACCUCAGGAAUUCUGCUUUGACAUAAUCCGUUGUAACAUCCGAAAGGUACAUACUAUGAUUUCCGUCUGAUUCCUCUUCGCAUGAUCUGUCAUUUGAUUAUUCUAUCGAGUCUUGGUAAUAUAUUAUGAUGCAUAUGGUUUCUCACUACUCUGCUCAUGCAUGCCUCAAUAUAUCUUUCACCGAGUCCCGGGCCGGGUAUGUUAUCGUGCGCACUCCACUGCAUUGUUCACCGAGUCCCUAACAAGAGGGCCGGGUACGGUAUGUGUAUAUCUUAUGCUGAUAUGAUGAUGUGAUGAUGGGUUACGGCAGCCAGGAGGGCAUAUGAUGAUUCUAUCCACCGAGUCCCUCACUAAAGGGCCGGGUACGGUACAGACACUCGGUUUGCUGAUCCGCCCGCCUAGGACACCUACUCUGCUGUUUGGAGUGCUCCUUGUUCGGAGCCCACGUUUUGGUAUAGACUUUUUCUGUUAUAUAUGUAUAUGUUUAUUCAGG